rfam:Triticum aestivum genome assembly, contig: Triticum_aestivum_CS42_TGACv1_scaffold_222095_3B
UUUGUACUCCCUCCGUCCGAAAAUACUUGUCGCGGAAAUGGAUACAAAUGGAUGCAUCUAAAACGAAAAUACAUCUAGAUACAUCCAUCUCUCGGACAAGUAUUUCCGGACGGAGGAAGUACUAC